GCCUGGGUGGCUCAGUUGGUUGAGUGUCUGACUUUUGAUCUGAAAGUCGUGAGUUCAAGCCCCACGUUGGGCA